AACGCGUAUGCGACCUGCCCGUUGCAGGGGGAUAAUCGGGAGAAAUCCCGUCUAAUACCGCGUAAUGCCGCGGGGCUGCAUGGCCCUGCGGCCAAAGGGAGCGAUUCCGGCAACGGAUGGGCAUGCGUGACAUUAGCUAGUUGGCGGGGCAACGGCCCACCAAGGCGACGAUGUCUAGGGGUUCUGAGAGGAAGGUCCCCCACACUGGUACUGAGACACGGACCAGACUCCUACGGGAGGCAGCAG
rnacentral:rRNA from 1 species